CGCCGCCUCUUUCAUCUCUUCUGGGGCAGGGGCCAGGGCCAGGUUUUACACAUCCAUAAGUAGACCUUUUUGGAGCCUCACCAGCCAAUUCAAUGGCGUCCUCUUCUACUGUGCCUCUGGGAUUUCACUAUGAAACAAAGUAUGUUGUUCUCAGCUACUUGGGACUCCUCUCUCAAGAGAAGCUGCAAGAGCAACAUCUUUCCUCACCCCAAGGGGUUCAACUAGAUAUAGCUUCACAAUCUCUGGAUCAAGAAAUUUUAUUAAAAGUUAAAACUGAAAUUGAAGAAGAGCUAAAAUCUCUGGACAAAGAAAUUUCUGAAGGUCUGUUUAUUCUUAUUUUUCUAGUUAAUAAGCAGAUUGUGUUUGUUAUGGUUUACUGUUGGUUUAAUUUGAUUUUUACAGUGGGGUAUUCUCAACAGUUAACAACUUACACCAAUUAUACAUUGGUAGAAGUUUAUAAGGGUAAAACUAGAAGGUAGCCUUUUUUCUUUCCUGGAGGAUAUGUUGAUGGAAGUUCCCCAACUAUACCUAACAGGUUAGAUGUAGCAGUUUCUCAUGUUAAGUAUCGGAUAAAUGAUCAUGUUAAGGUUCUUUCCAUUCACUAUGGUUUGAUUUGUAUUUAGUAUUACCUUUAUAAGUAAUAACGACAU
rnacentral:lncRNA from 1 species